rnacentral:rRNA from 1 species
GGGCCCGCACAAGCGGUGGAGCAUGUGGUUUAAUUCGAUGAUACGCGAGGAACCUUACCAGGGCUUAAAUGCAGAACGACAGAUUUAGAAAUAAAUCCUUCUUCGGACGGACUGCAAGGUGCUGCAUGGUUGUCGUCAGCUCGUGCCGUGAGGUGUCAGGUUAAGUCCUAUAACGAGCGCAACCCCCUAUUCUUAGUUGCCAGCGGGUAAUGCCGGGAACUCUAAGGAGACUGCCAGCGCAAGCUGCGAGGAAGGUGGGAUGACGUCAAAUCAUCACGGCCCUUACGUCCUGGGCUACACACGUGCUACAAUGGAUGGUACAAUGGGCAGCCACUACGCGAGUAGGAGCUAAUCCUCAAAACCCCAUUC